rnacentral:rRNA from 1 species
GGACAACCUACCCUCAGGACGGGGAUAAACCCGGGAAACUGGGUAUAAUACCCGAUAGAUCUCGGCUGCUGGAAUGCAUCGAGCUCUAAAGCUCCGGCGCCUGAGGAUGGGUCUGCGGCCUAUCAGGUAGUAGUGGGUGUAGCGUACCUACUAGCCUACGACGGGUACGGGUUGUGAGAGCAAGAGCCCGGAGAUGGAUUCUGAGACACGAAUCCAGGCCCUACGGGGUGCAGCAGGCGCGAAAACUUUACAAUGCCGGCAACGGCGAUAAGGGGACCUCGAGUGCCAGGUUACAAAUCUGGCUGUCGUGAUGCCUAAAAAGCAUUGCAUAGCAAGGGCCGGGCAAGACCGGUGCCAGCCGCCGCGGUAACACCGGCGGCUCGAGUGGUAACCGUUAUUAUUGGGUCUAAAGGGUCUGUAGCCGGCCGGAUAAGUCUCUUGGGAAAUCCAGCAGCUUAACUGUUGGGCUUUCAGGAGAUACUGUCUGGCUCGAGGCCGGGAGAGGUGAGAGGUACUUCAGGGGUAGGGGUGAAAUCUUGUAAUCCUUGAAGGACCACCAGUGGCGAAGGCGUCUCACCAGAACGGACCUGACGGCAAGGGACGAAAGCUAGGGGCACGAACCGGAUUAGAUACCCGGGUAGUCCUAGCCGUAAACGAUACUCGCUAGGUGUCGGCCACGGUGCGACCGUUGUCGGUGCCGUAGGGAAGCCGUGAAGCGAGCCACCUGGGAAGUACGGCCGCAAGGCUGAAACU